rnacentral:rRNA from 1 species
UACGUAGGGUGCAAGCGUUAAUCGGAAUUACUGGGCGUAAAGCGUGCGCAGGCGGUUAUGUAAGACAGAUGUGAAAUCCCCGGGCUCAACCUGGGAACUGCAUUUGUGACUGCAUAGCUAGAGUACGGUAGAGGGGGAUGGAAUUCCGCGUGUAGCAGUGAAAUGCGUAGAUAUGCGGAGGAACACCGAUGGCGAAGGCAGCCCCCCUGGGUCGACACUGACGCUCAUGCACAAAAAGCGUGGGGAGCAAACAGG